rfam:Fibulorhizoctonia sp. CBS 109695 unplaced genomic scaffold FIBSPscaffold_93, whole genome shotgun sequence.
GCAUUAAUGGGGUAGUGGUAACCUUGGUCGUUGCCAUUCGGGUUCUCACAAACUCGACCAGCCGGGGGUUCGAUUCCCUCUUAAUGCA